AUUGAACGCUGGCGGCAGGCCUAACACAUGCAAGUCGAACGAGUGGCGGACGGGUGAGUAAUGUCUGGGAAACUGCCUGAUGGAGGGGGAUAACUACUGGAAACGGUAGCUAAUACCGCAUACCAUCAGAUGUGCCCAGAUGGGAUUAGCUGUGUGGUGGGGUAACGGCUCACCAAGGCGAAGAUCCCUAGCUGGUCUGAGAGGAUGACCAGACACACUGGAACUGAGAGACGGCCCAGACUCCUACGUGAGGCAGCAGUGGGGAAUAUUGCACAAGGGGCCCAAGCCUGAUGCAGCCAUGCCGCGGGUAUGAAGAAGGCCUUCGGGUUGGAAAGUACUUUCAGCGGGGAGGCGGUACCCGCAGAAGAAGCACCGGCUAACUUCGUGCCAGCCGCCGCGGUAAUUC
rnacentral:rRNA from 1 species